UGGGGAAUCUUGCGCAAUGGGGGAAACCCUGACGCAGCGACGCCGCGUGGGUGAUGAAGGCCUUCGGGUCGUAAAGCCCUGUCAGGUGGGAAGAAACGUAUCGAUGCUAAUAUCAUCGAUACUUGACGGUACCACCGGAGGAAGCACCGGCUAACUCCGUGCCAGCAGCCGCGGUAAUACGGAGGGUGCAAGCGUUGUUCGGAAUUACUGGGCGUAAAGCGCGUGUAGGCGGUUGGGUAAGUCAGAUGUGAAAGCCUUCCGCUCAACGGAAGAAGGGCAUUUGAAACUACCUGGCUGGAGUACGGGAGAGGAGAGUGGAAUUCCCGGUGUAGAGGUGAAAUUCGUAGAUAUCGGGAGGAACACCAGUGGCGAAGGCGGCUCUCUGGUCCGAUACUGACGCUGAGACGCGAAAGCGUGGGGAGCAAACAGG
rnacentral:rRNA from 1 species